rnacentral:rRNA from 2 species
UGGAUCCAGACUUCGAUUAUGGCUCAGGACGAACGCUGGCGGCGCGCCUAACACAUGCAAGUCGAACGAGAGAGAGGGAGCUUGCUUCCUCAAUCGAGUGGCGAACGGGUGAGUAACGCGUGAGGAACCUGCCUCAAAGAGGGGGACAACAGUUGGAAACGACUGCUAAUACCGCAUAAGCCCACGGCUCGGCAUCGAGCAGAGGGAAAAGGAGCAACCCGCUUUGAGAUGGCCUCGCGUCCGAUUAGCUAGUUGGUGAGGUAACGGCCCACCAAGGCGACGAUCGGUAGCCGGACUGAGAGGUUGAACGGCCACAUUGGGACUGAGACACGGCCCAGACUCCUACGGGAGGCAGCAGUGGGGAAUAUUGCACAAUGGGGGAAACCCUGAUGCAGCGACGCCGCGUGGAGGAAGAAGGUCUUCGGGUUGUAAACUCCUGUUGUUGAGGAAGAUAAUGACGGUACUCAACAAGGAAGUGACGGCUAACUACGUGCCAGCAGCCGCGGUAAAACGUAGGUCACAAGCGUUGUCCGGAAUUACUGGGUGUAAAGGGAGCGCAGGCGGGAGAACAAGUUGGAAGUGAAAUCCAUGGGCUCAACCCAUGAACUGCUUUCAAAACUGUUUUUCUUGAGUAGUGCAGAGGUAGGCGGAAUUCCCGGUGUAGCGGUGGAAUGCGUAGAUAUCGGGAGGAACACCAGUGGCGAAGGCGGCCUACUGGGCACCAACUGACGCUGAGGCUCGAAAGUGUGGGUAGCAAACAGGAUUAGAUACCCUGGUAGUCCACACCGUAAACGAUGAUUACUAGGUGUUGGAGGAUUGACCCCUUCAGUGCCGCAGUUAACACAAUAAGUAAUCCACCUGGGGAGUACGACCGCAAGGUUGCAACUCAAAGGAAUUGACGGA